UUUUAGGAUUUGAUAAGGUUUUAGAAUAGGAUAUGAUUAGGAUUUAAGAUUUGAUUUGGACAUGGUCUAGAAAUUGGUUAGGAUUUAGAAUUUGAUUAGGAUUUGGUUUAAGAUUAGAUUAGAGUUUGGUCUAAGAUUUGAUUAGGAUUUUAUUAAGAUUUAUUAAGAUUUUAUUAAAGUUCGUUUAAGAUUUAGAAUUUGGCUAGGAUCUAAUUAGGAUUUGAGCAAAGUUUACUUAGAUUUUACUUAGGAUUUAUUUUAGAUUUUUAUUUUUAUUUUCUUUAGAUUUUUUUAAAAAAAAUUUAAUUUCUGAUAUUUU
rnacentral:lncRNA from 1 species